UAUUUUUACUUCAAUGAUCAUGAAGAGCAGUGAACAUCAUAUUUAAAGUCACAGAGAUUAAAUAUGAGAUGAAAGAAAAAUAUUUAUUUAAGAGUAAGAGGGUUCAUACAACUCCAAGAAUAUAAAAAUUAAAUACAUAAAACUCGUGUCCCUUUGUUAGGGCUGCAUCCAGCCCUAGUGAAGAUCUUAGGCUUCCAUGGUACGGAGAGUAGCAGCAGCGAUGUAGAGGACCUUCAUCACGACUCGGUUCUCCCUCCUUUCUCCUGCCGGCUUCUUCUCCCUCCUGAACUUCAUUAAUUUUUUCUUUAGGAAAUCAUUCCCAAAAUACCCAAAACUACUCUCUCACCCUUUCCUUUUCUUCCCGUGAGAACUUGGCCUAUGAGAG
rnacentral:lncRNA from 1 species